ACAUUAAGUGAUGUAAGAUCCCGCAAGUUUCCAUCAUUGUUUGUCAAGAAAUACACCCAUGAGCAUGAUAUGGUAUGUCACAUGCUCUCACCAUCUCCAAAUGAACGUCCUGAAGCUGUAGAAAUCAUGGAAGAAUCAUUUUUUGAAGAACUGGGACUCUCUGGAAAAACAGUUGUAAGACAAAGAUCACGGACUUUAAGCUCAUCUGGAUUUAAGCACUUCAGACAUCCAAGUAGUUAAUAUUGUUUUUUCUGAUUUUGUGCCUUUGGUAUUCCAAAGCAGAGGUGGUCAAUAAUGGAUUUUUCUGUUCUGUCAUUUGCACUACUUUUCCUUUCAGUAGUGGAUCAAAAUAGGCACUGUUAAUAGCCUUCAUUCAUGCACUCCCUGAAGAGACCAACAAUAAUACCAAGGUGUUACUUUUGCCUCGUACCUUGGUGUGCCAAAUGCAGAUUCUGAUUCAAAUGAUUACCAAGAACGUAGCAUCCUGAGGCUUUCUGCACAAUUCUUAAAUGGAAUUUUCAUCAGAAACCUAUUUUAAUGUGGGAAGUAUCAAGGCUAGAUGUGAUUUUGUACUUUAAACAGAAUUUGCUUUACUGACUUAGAUGAAUAUUUUUUUUAGAUUGACAUGAUGUGAUCUACUGAGUUAUCUUUUCAGGGGAUCUGCUUUCACGGCAACAGAAUUGUCUUUUUUGCCAUUAUUGCAUUUAUUGUACUUGACUUGCAAUACAUUGUCUGUACUACAGAAAGUAGAAAUGUUCUAUAUGUAAAUACUGUAAUUUUGUGUUGUAGUCUGUCUUCGUGUAUUUUUUUUUUUUUUUACUGAUAUGGAGGUAUUGUGGAAUUUAAUGUGUGCCUGAUAAUGCUAUUCAAAAUCCAUCACACUGAUGAUAAAAAAGCUAAGAGAUUUUUGAAAUCUCACACUGAUAGAAAAAUAGUCUUAUUUACCAAGAAUAACAGGUAAAACAGUAGGGCAGUUAAGGUGUGUUAACAUUCUGCCAUGCUGUUUUCCUGUUUUAGUUUUAUUUUGGUGAUAUCAUUAAGUUGGUCAAGCAUUCAGAACACACGCAGUUCUUUUUUUCCCAGUAAUCAUUCAACAGCAUUGACUGUUUGGUGUGUUUUUCAUUGUGCUGCUGAUUCAAGGAGGGAUACGAUCAUGAUUUGCCAAAACACAAGCAGAAUAUUUCAGUUUCUGUAUGUAUUCCUAGUGCAUUUUACUCUUUAGUAGAUUUUUCCUGACUUUUCUCAUUGACUGUAUGCAGUUUUAUUUUGAUAUGGUUUAUUGUCUGUUAUUCUGCAGUCUUUUCUCAAAUUCUACUGUAAUAGUAUGUUAAGACAGCUGGUUUAGUGAAGGAACGUUAAUAUGGUAGUAAUCUGCUGGUAGAGACCUGCUGUUUUGCCAAGAGUCAUUUCAUUUAAUAUAGCCGUUGUUUUACUUUUUUAAAAAAAUAAUUCUAGGUUAAAAUAGCAACACUUGGAAGUUUUUCUUUUAAUUUCAUUAGACUGUAUUGGGUACACUGAGUUAUAAAAGCACACAAAUCACUAUGUGUUACUAAUGUGUUAAGUGAGCAGGCCCUGACUGUUACUUUAAUGAAGUACCCCAAAUGUGAUCUUCUGUGUAGACUAGUUAGUAUAAAAAUGUUUCUUGUGCAGAAUGAACAACUACUGUUGUUAAUCUUAGCUGAAUGUGUGUAAUAUGGGACAAAGGAUUUUGUAGGGUACAGCAUGAAAAGAAGUAGCAGUCAAGAAGAGAAGAAUGCACUAGAUUUUAAAAUGGACACACUGCAUGGUGUGUUUGGCACAUACUGAGCUGACUGAAUUAAAAAAAUGUCUGCUGUUUUAUAAAUGUUUUAACAUUUAGACUGUUCAUUUUUGUUGAAAAGUACUUAUUUUUUGUAAAUAUUUUUUAUUUAUGCAUACAUAUAUAAACAAUCCAUUUGGGUUGGUGGCUUACAGAAUGCACAUUGACUGUGUAGUGCAUUAAGCUAUUUUGACUUCUUACAAGUCUAAAUGAUUUAAUAAAAAAUAUUUUUACAAGGUG